rnacentral:tRNA from 1 species
UCCAGUGUAGUGCAGUGGUUUGAAUGUUGGACUAGGACUCUGGAGACCAGGGUUCAAAUCCCUGGUCAGCCAUGGAA